rnacentral:rRNA from 16 species
GUGAUUCCGUGAGUAGUGGCGAGCGAAAGCGGAGGAGGCUAAACCGUGUGUGUGUUCAAGCCGGCAGGUGUUGCAUGUGCGGGGUUGUGGGGGCCUUGUGGUUCUGCUGCCGCAGGAUUGGCCAGUGAGAAAUGUUGCGUGAAGGUGAAGCGUCUGGGAAGGCGUACCGGAGUGGGUGAGAGUCCUGUAACUGUAAGCGUGGCACUGGUGUGGGGUUGCCCCGAGUAGCGUGGGACUCGUGGAAUUUCGCGUGAAUCUGGCGGGACCACCCGUCAAGCCUAAAUACUCCUUGGUGACCGAUAGUGGAUGAGUACCGUGAGGGAAGGGUGAAAAGUACCCCGGGAGGGGA